UGUGUGUCUAAGUGGUAAAGAGUUUAUAAGUAUAAAAUUGACAACUUGACAACACUAUUAGUUAUCAAUUUGAAAGUAUUUAUUAGCAACAAAUCAAAUGCACCAAUAUCCCAUUCUGAAGACUUCACUAUGCGUAUUGUCCCAAUUUAAUUUUUUUUCGCGCUAAUUUUUCCUAAUUGGGCUGGAAGCUGUACUUUUCCCAAUAAGGUAAACAAAAUUGCUAUACACUUGACAUACAUGCAUUAAGCCCAGUUUUCUCAGAAUAUGGCUCACUUACUAAAACCCUGUGACAUACUCCCUGUCUAUCUCACACAGGUGCUGACAUACUCCCUGUGUAUCUCACACAGGUGCUGACGUACUCCCUGUGUAUCUCACACAGGUGCUGACAUACUCCCUGUGUAUCUGACACAGGUGUUGACAUACUCCCUGUGUAUCUGACACAGGUGCUGACGUACUCCCUGUGUAUCUCACACAGGUGCUGACGUACUCCCUGUCUAUCUCACACAG